AUACAUUUUUUUCAAAUGAAAAAUCUGUUCUUAUCAGUUUAAUAUCUGAUACGUCCCCUACCCGGGGGCCAUAUAUUAAAUUGAUUUUUGGAACUGGGAGAUGGAAAAGGCGCUUGCUCCGUCCACUCCACGCAUCGUCCUGGUAUUGCAGUACCUCCAGGACCGGUGCAACCCUC
ensembl:snRNA U2 U2 spliceosomal RNA